GACGAACGCUGGCGGCGUGCCUAACACAUGCAAGUCGAGCGGAGUCGAUCGACGGAAGCCUUCGGGCGGAAGAUGGUUGACUUAGCGGCGGAUGGGUGAGUAACGCGUGGGCAACCUGCCUCGAAGACCGGGAUAACAGCCCGAAAGGGCUGCUAAUACCGGAUGUGGUCAAGGAUCCGCAUGGAUUUUUGAUUAAAGGGGAAACCCGUUUCGAGAUGGGCCCGCGUCCUAUCAGCUAGUUGGUGAGGUAAAAGCUCACCAAGGCGACGACGGGUAGCCGGCCUGAGAGGGUGACCGGCCACACUGGAACUGAGACACGGUCCAGACUCCUACGGGGGCAGCAGUGGGGAAUCUUCCACAAUGGGCGAAAGCCUGAUGGAGCGACGCCGCGUGAGCGAAGAAGGCCUUCGGUUGUAAGCUCUGUCUGGAGGGACGAAGGAAGUGACGGUACCUCCGGAGGAAGCCACGGCUAACUACGUG
rnacentral:rRNA from 1 species